rnacentral:sRNA from 1 species
GAAAUAUCCUUCCGACGACGAGGGCCACUCCCGC